GAUGAAGAACGCAGCGAAAUGCGAUAAGUAAUGUGAAUUGCAGAAUUCAGUGAAUCAUCGAAUCUUUGAACGCACAUUGCGCCCCCUGGUAUUCCGGGGGGCAUGCCUGUCAGAGCGUCAUUACAACCCUCAAGCUCAGCUUGGUGUUGGGCCCCGCCGCCCCGGCGGGCCCUAAAGUCAGUGGCGGUGCCGUCCGGCUCCGAGCGUAGUAAUUCUUCUCGCUCUGGAGGUCCGGUCGUGUGCUCGCCAGCAACCCCCAAUUUUUUUCAGGUUGACCUCGGAUCAGGUAGGGAUACCCGCUGAACUUAAGCAUAUCAAUAAGCGGAGGA
rnacentral:misc_RNA from 1 species